rnacentral:lncRNA from 1 species
CUGCCUCGGGGUGGUGGGAGGGUGACGGUUAGAGUUACGACAGUAAGGCAACAAUAGAAGUAUUUAGGGGUAACUAAGGUUACUGUGGUGAUCGCUGUCCAGUGGUGUUAUUUUUUCUUCCCCCCUUGUAUACAUAGGAUAUUUGUCUUUGGGGACUAGGGUACUCUGAAUUUAUCUAGGAAGUAUGGAAGUGGCAGGAGCCAGGGUCAGAUGCUGGCCAGAAAGAUCCGUCCUGCUGGUUUUCAAUAGCUGCUCUCCCUGGGGAGCAAGGAUUUGGGG